ACGGAAGGCAGCAGUCGGGAAUAUUGCGCAAUGGAGGAAACUCUGACGCAGUGACGCUGCGUGCAGGAAGAAGGUUUUCGGAUUGUAAACUGCUUUAGACAGGGAAGAAACAAGACAGUACCUGUAGAAUAAGCUCCGGCUAACUACGUGCCAGCAGCCGCGGUAAUACGUAGGGAGCAAGCGUUAUCCGGAUUUAUUGGGUGUAAAGGGUGCGUAGACGGAGAAGCAAGUUAGUUGUGAAAUCCCUCGGCUUAACUGAGGAACUGCAACUAAAACUACUUCCCUUGAGUGCUGGAGAGGAAAGUGGAAUUCCUAGUGUAGCGGUGAAAUGCGUAGAUAUUAGGAAGAACACCAGUGGCGAAGGCGGCUUUCUGGACUGUAACUGACAUCGAGGCUCGAAAGCGUGGGGAGCAAACAGGAUUAGAUACCCUGGUA
rnacentral:rRNA from 1 species